rnacentral:rRNA from 1 species
GUCCUUGCCGUAAACGAUGCAUACUUGGUGUAGCUGGACUCAACCCCAGCUGUGCCGUAGCUAACGUGUUAAGUAUGCCACCUGAGGAGUACGCUCGCAAGGGUGAAACUCAAAAGAAUUGACGGGGGCCCGCACAAGCAGUGGAGCAUGUGGUUUAAUUCGAUGCAACGCGAAGAACCUUACCCAGGCUUGACAUAUAGAGGACGGUACUAGAAAUAGUGCUUCCGCAAGGCCUCUAUACAGGUGCUGCAUGGCUGUCGU